rnacentral:rRNA from 1 species
UUUAUGGAGAGUUUGAUCCUGGCUCAGGAUGAACGCUGGCGGCGUGCCUAAUACAUGCAAGUCGAGCGAACAGACGAGGAGCUUGCUCCUCUGACGUUAGCGGCGGACGGGUGAGUAACACGUGGAUAACCUACCUAUAAGACUGGGAUAACUUCGGGAAACCGGAGCUAAUACCGGAUAAUAUAUUGAACCGCAUGGUUCAAUAGUGAAAGACGGUUUUGCUGUCACUUAUAGAUGGAUCCGCGCCGCAUUAGCUAGUUGGUAAGGUAACGGCUUACCAAGGCAACGAUGCGUAGCCGACCUGAGAGGGUGAUC